rnacentral:rRNA from 1 species
GAGUGCGAUCAUACUAGUGUUAAUGCACCAGAUCCCAUCAGAACUCCGAUGUUAAGAGCGCUUGGGCUAGAGUAGUACUGGGAUGGGUGACCUCCCAGGAAUAUAUUCAAAUACUUUGGAAUGC